UACGGGGGGGGGCAAGCGUUGUUCGGAAUUACUGGGCGUAAAGGGCGCGUAGGCGGCCUGCUAAGUCGGACGUGAAAUCCCUCGGCUCAACCGGGGAACUGCGUCCGAUACUGGUGGGCUCGAAUCCGGGAGAGGGAUGUGGAAUUCCAGGUGUAGCGGUGAAAUGCGUAGAUAUCGGGAGGAACACCAGUGGCGAAGGCGACUACCUGGCCCAUUCUUGACGCUGAGGCGCGAAAGCUAGGGGAGCGAACGGG
rnacentral:rRNA from 1 species